UCUGAGCUUGGACAUGCAGACCAUCAUCUUGUCAUUUUCAGCUGUGCUGCUUCAAUUAUAUACCAAACUCCAGCAUUGGAAAGAAGAAAGAUCAUUGGCCUCCAUCCUUGGAUAGCAUCAAUGGCAAAGGGAAAUAUGAAAAUUGUAGACAGCCUAGGAGAAUAUACUGUUAUGUGCUUAAGAACUGUGUGGAGAGAUGCUCUGUGCUUGGCCACAGCAGCUAUGCUACAAUUACUUUCCAGAAGAGUAGGAAGGAAAGAUAGAGGAAGUAGGAUUUAGCUCAAAUAUCAUACCAUUUUCACUGAGCAGGACUUGUUGAGUAUCUUCCUGCUGGAAUCCUAUACCAUGAAGAAUAAAAGGCAUCUUAAGAAGAGGAGAGCUUGUGGAUAGAUCUCAACUUUUGCCAGAAUAUUGUUGCCACAAAGAAUUCUAGUUCAGCAUCCAGAUACCUGCAACCAUUUUUAUUGCAGUACCAUUUAUAACAGCCAGGUGAUAGAGUCAUCCAAAUGCUAAUUAAAAGAAGAAGAAGACGAAUAUAUAAAGAAGAUGGACUACUCGGGAUGAGUUAUAACGAGUUGAAUCACUGAAGGGGUCUUACAGAUCUCCCCA